UACGUAGGGGGCAAGCGUUAUCCGGAUUUACUGGGUGUAAAGGGAGCGUAGACGGCGAUGCAAGCCAGAUGUGAAAGCCCGGGGCUCAACCCCGGGACUGCAUUUGGAACUGCAUGGCUGGAGUACAGGAGGGGCAGGCGGAAUUCCUAGUGUAGCGGUGAAAUGCGUAGAUAUUAGGAGGAACACCGGUGGCGAAGGCGGCCUGCUGGACUGUGACUGACGUUGAGGCCCGAAGGCGUGGGGAGCAAACAGG
rnacentral:rRNA from 1 species